CAGAUACUGUAGCACAAACAGUGACAGUUCAAGCAAAGGAACUUAGAAAGACUUUGAGAGAAAGUGACCUACCAGAGACAAUUCAAGAAAAAAAAAAACAAAAUCCCGUUAUUUGCAUGAAUGCAUGUUGUUUUUACCCUUUUGCUUUAGUUUUUGUAGUAAAACUUUACCUGUAAAUCAACCCGAGAUAAAUACCUGGGUUGCCUCAGCCAAAGACUGCAAGCUUUGAUACCAUCUGUUUGUCAGAUCAUACUGUUCCCAUUCAUACACAGCUGCAAAAUUUGAAAAAUUUAGCCAACCAAACUCAUAUUGAUAAUUUUAAAGUGAAUCAAUCUGACCAUCAAAAGUUAGAGAAGCUGGACAAUUUGUUUAAAGGUUUAAGCUUUGCACCUUGGCUAAGAGAACUCUGUAAAAUAAGCUUAAUUGUUUAAACAAGUGUUAACUGUAGUCUUAGCAGCAGUACCCGUUAUACUUCAGUGUGUGCAAAAACUAACAAGACAGUUUCUAGUUCUGCAGUUUUCAACUUUCCUCUUCUACCUCACCAGUCCCUCUUCAGAGCCCCAAAAAAAGGAUGGGUUAUCAGGAAAAAAGGGGUUUAAGCUGAGGGAAAAAGCUUCCUUUUUCACAAUUGCCUGUGUUCAAAUUGAAGAGGAAUCCACUUUCCCUGCAAUUUUAAUAGUCUCAAUUGGAGCAUUUCAAGGGUUUAAAGCUGCAUUUCAGGGCACUUCUACCCACACCCUAGCACCAAGUAUUUCCAAUGGGAGCAAGCCCAGCAGGAGGAUUGCAAUUUCCAGAAGUUCUAGGUCACAUCAAGUGCGAUAUUUCAGAUUCUCCCAGCAGAUUCAUCGUAACACAAAAGGGAACCACCCCCGCAGCAGCUUUCCUUAGCAGCGGAUGGUCCUCUCGCACAGAUUCACUUCAGGGAGGUAAGUCGAGGGCUGUGGUCACAGAGGGGAUCAAAGCAGGGCGAUGCAGACGGAUUGACCUCCUGGCAGAGCAUCUGUCCCAGAUGAGGAGAUCCCCCUGAGAAGGAAGUAAAGCUGGAAAGCAGCGGGGAAGGCGAAGCAGGUGGAAGGUGAGCCUCGGUUGGUGGAGAGAAGCAGUUGUUCUUGCUGGGGUCUCAGUUUCUGGUGCAACUCCAAGCAUCCCUGCUUGUUGGUGUGUUUUAGGCUGCCUCCUGAUGCUGUGCUGAGGCCCCCUCACUGACCUGUCAAGAGACCCAGUUUGCUUCUCUGGUGAGCCCCAGCAAAUAUUACCAGAGUCCGUCACGAAGUCUCGACCUCGUCCACGUGUCGGUGCGGUCCAGGUACCCUUUAGCUGAGGAGUCCCGGUGAGUUUGGGGCAUCGGAAGGAGCAGCGAGGGCGCGCUCAACUUUUAGCAACACUACAUCGCCACCUCUCCGUUUAUCCUAGGCGUACCCUGCGACCACGGCGUCCGCCUCAGAGCGUGGCCGAAGCGUGCGGCCGGAGGACCCGGGAGUUCCUAAGAGACGGUGAGUAGGAGUUGGGUUUUGGUGAAUAUGCCACUAAGAUUGUGCACUUAUAUUUGGUUUUCUUUAUCAUAGGUGAUGAUACUUGUCUGAGACAACAGCCCGGUGAGAGAAGAAGUUCCCAGACAGCGAGGUGGCUUUGUUUGGCACCCGACCGGCCUCUCGCUGUGACUCACAUCUUCAGCCCUCCGAGAGAUAAGUGGAGCCCGCAGAGGGGAUCAAAGCAGGGCGGUGGGUUGGGACUCAGAUCGGUUUGGGUUUUUGAGUGAGCUUUGGGGAUGGGGAGGUUCUGGAAAUGAUCCCAUAGGCCCCAGUGAGGGAAAGCCUCACUUUGGUUCGCAAUGGUGAGGCGAACAGGGCAGAGCAGUCCCAGGGUGUGUUGUCACUUGUC
ensembl:lncRNA